GCUGCCUGCACCAUGGCCUGGACCCCUCUCCUGCUCAUGCUUCUCUCCCACUGCACAGGUUCCCUGUCCCAGCCUGUGCUGACUCAGCCGCCCUCCCUGUCUGCAUCUCCGGGAAGCAACAGCCAGACUCACCUGCACCCUCAGUAGCGGCUCCAGUGUUGGCAGCUACUACAUACACUGGUACCAGCAGAAGCCAGGGAGCCCUCCCAGGUAUCUGCUGUAUUACUACUCAGACUCAAAAAAGCAUCAGGGCUCUGGGGUCCCCAGCCGCUUCUCUGGAUCCAAAGACACCUCAGCCAAUGCAGGGCUCCUGACCAUCUCUGGGCUACAACCUGAGGACGAGGCCGACUAUUACUGUAUGAGUUGGUACAGUGGCAGUAAAACUUAA